rnacentral:misc_RNA from 1 species
CAAGCAAUGAGAACUGCGACAAAAAUUACAGCGUUGAGUGUAGGUCCCCUUCUUCUCCAUCUCUGCAAAAAGCUCAAUUCCUCUUUCAUUAUCUCCGUUGACAGCCAACCCCAAGAUCAUAGAACUCCAAGUUGUUACGUCUUUAUAUAGCAUCUUCUUAAAUAUUUCAACAGCCUCUUUUACGUGACCACACUUAGCAUAAAAAUCUAUCAAUGCAGUGCCCAUCUCGAGCUCAUAAUCCAAACUGUCCCCAUCUACAUAGGAAUGAAUCCAUUUCCCAUCUUCAAAUGCACCUAUUGCUGCACAGGCAUUAAGGACACUAACCAAAAGAGAUCCACUAAACCUCACACUACUACAACUCUUCAAUUCUUGAAACAACUCAAUGGCUUCAUUGAAAUGACCGUUCCGAACAUACCCAGAAACCACUGCAUUAUAAGAAAUUUCAUUUCUCUCUGGCAUUGUAUCAAACAUCUUACGCGCUUCAUUCAUCAAGCCAUUACUACAGUACCACAAACCAGACCACAUUUAGAUCAAUACUUUAAUCAAAAAUUUGACGAGCAAGUUCCAUUGCUUCACACUUUGAAUACAUAUUAAUAAUAGAACUAAUGAUAUAAUACACGUGUCCGAAUUUCAAUAUUUAACAAUGAACUUGAUCAAGCCAAGAAAAGCAAACGCAGCAUUUUAUCAAACUUCUAAAAAUAUGGGAAUUUGGUCUGAUCCCUAUGCUAAGCAUACGUGCAAAAAGUGAAAGACCCUUUUGAGGAUGUGAGUUUUGAGACAAACCCAAUAUCAUGGAAUUGAAAUUAAAGGCAUUGGGUAUUUGAAUUUAAUUGAGAACGGUUUGCGCACAAUCGAUGUCUCCAUUGUGUGACAGUGCACAGAAGGCUAAGAUUUUGCUGGUUAUAAAGGUGAAACGAGCCAAGCCAUUUGUGAUUAUGUGAGUUUGGAUUUGCUUUAGCUCUAUCAUGGUUUUGCAUUUUUGCAGAAGAGCAAGAAUUGGAGAAUUUGAUAUCGAGAGGAUUCCUGACAUGGGUCAAUAACCUUAGAUGCUGUAAACUAAGCAACAUCGACCAGGGCUAGAAGAAAAUCUC